CUGCUAGAGACGCUGGCGGCGUGCCUAAUACAUGCAAGUCGAACGCUUCUUUUUCCACCGGGGCUUGCUCCACCGGAAAAAGAGGAGUGGCGAACGGGUGAGUAACACGUGGGUAACCUGCCCAUCAGAAGGGGAUAACACUUGGAAACAGGUGCUAAUACCGUAUAACAAUCGAAACCGCAUGGUUUUGAUUUGAAAGGCGCUUUCUGGUGUCGCUGAUGGAUGGACCCGCGGUGCAUUAGCUAGUUGGUGAGGUAACGGCUCACCAAGGCCACGAUGCAUAGCCGACCUGAGAGGGUGAUCGGCCACGUUGGGACUGAGACACGGCCCAAACUCCUACGGGAGGCAGCAGUAGGGAAUCUUCGGCAAUGGACGAAAGUCUGACCGAGCAACGCCGCGUGAGUGAAGAAGGUUUUCGGAUCGUAAAACUCUGUUGUUAGAGAAGAACAAGGAUGAGAGUAACUGUUCAUCCCUUGUCGGUAUCUAACCACAAAGCCACGGCUAACUACGUGCCAGCAGCCGCGGUAAUACGUAGGUGGCAAGCGUUGUCCGGAUUUAUUGGGCGUAAAGCGAGCGCUCGCGGUUUCUAAAGUCUGAUGUGAAAGCCCCCGGCUCAACCGGGGAGGGUCAUUGGAAACUGGGGAGACUUGAAAGCAGAAUGAUAUAGUGGAAUUCCAUGUGAAACGGUGAAAUGCUUAAAUAAAAUGGAGGGAACACAAGUGGGCAAAUCGCGGCUCUUCUGUUCUGAAACUGACUCUGAGGUCUCGAAAAGCAGGAGGAACAAAAGGUAUUAGAUACCCUGGGAAUUCACCGCAGAAACAAAAAUGGCUAAAUGGUUCCAGCCUUUUCCGCGCUUUAAGUAAAGAG
rnacentral:rRNA from 1 species